rnacentral:rRNA from 1 species
UCGAGAAUAUUCGUCAAUGGACGAAAGUCUGAACGAGCGACGCCGCGUGCAGGAUGAAGCAUUUCGGUGUGUAAACUGCGGUAGCAGGGGAGGAAUGUAAAUGACUGUACCCUGCGGAAAGUGGUGGGUAACUACGUGCCAGCACCAGCGGUAAUACGUAGGCCACAAGCGUUAUCCGGAUUUAUUGGGCGUAAAGCGCAUGCAGGUGGUAGUAAGCGUCUCCGGUCAAAGCCCACCGCCUAACGGUGGAACUGCCGGGGAUACGAUACAACUAGAGGGAGUUAGAGGUACACGGAACGCACGGUGUAGGGGUAAUAUCCGUUGAUAUCGUGCGGAACACCAAAGGCGAAGGCAGUGUACUGGGACUUUCCUGACACUCAGAUGCGAAAGCGUGGGGAGC